GUGUGUGUUUAUGUGUUCUGCCUACAAAGACAGCCGUGGGUAGAGGAGGAAAUGCUGCCUACCAGUUGUGACAAAUGCAGUGACAUAGACCAUUGCUAUGUCUUUCCAAGAACAAAAGCCCAUUUCCCAGGGGAAGAUCUACAAUAAAUGAAGGGUAUUUUAUCUCAGCAACAGAAAUGGAACUAGGGUAUUCUGAUGGCUAAUCUUAGCUGUCAACCGGGCACACCCAGGGAAGAAGAAAUCUCAAUUGAGGAACUGCUUCUUGUAGGAAUUGUUAUGUUCUUUUGAAAGUAUCCUGUUUCACUGAGCCAAACUCUGGAAUCCAGUUGUAAAGGAGGAGCGAUGAACAAAGGGAUCAAGACCAUGCUGGGGAAACCCACAGAAACAGCUGACCUGAUCAUGUGGGUGUGCAUGGACCCCAGUCUAACUGCUGGGGAACCAGCAGGACCAAAGCCCCUGAACAUGGGUGUCAGUUGGGAGGACAGGGCAGUCUAUGGGGCCUUUGGCAGUGGAACCAAUAUUUAGUUCUAGUGCAUGAACU